UCUGCCCACAGCCGGGAGAUAGCCCUCCGAAAGGAAGGAUUAAUAUCCCAUAGGAAGAUGAGAUGGCAUCAGUUUAUUUUUAAACUAACGGGGGCUGUGGAUGAGCAUGCGGUUGAUUAGCUAGUUGGCGGGGUAAAGGCCCACCAAGGCGAUGAUCAAUAGGGGACCUGAGAGGGUGAUCCCCCACACUGGGCACUGAGAUACGGGGCCAGACUCCUACGGGAGGCAGCAGUAGGGAAUAUUGGACAAUGGGUGUAAGCCUGAUCCAGCCAUGCCGCGUGCAGGAAGAAGGCCUUCUGGGUUGUAAACUGCUUUUGCCGGGGGAUAAAAGAUCCAUGCGUGGAGAAUUGAAGGUACCCGGUGAAUAAGCCACGGCUAACUACGUG
rnacentral:rRNA from 1 species